GAUUAUGGCUCAGGAUGAACGCUAGCGACAGGCUUAACACAUGCAAGUCGAGGGCAUCACGGGAGUAGCAAUACAACUGGUGGCGACCGGCGCACGGGUGAGUAACGCGUAUGCAACCUACCUAUCAGAGGGGAAUAACCCGGCGAAAGUCGGACUAAUACCGCAUAAAACAGGGGCACCGCAUGGUGAUAUUUGUUAAAGAAAUUCGCUGAUAGAUGGGCAUGCGUUCCAUUAGGUAGUUGGUGAGGUAACGGCUCACCAAGCCGACGAUGGAUAGGGGAACUGAGAGGUUGGUCCCCCACACUGGUACUGAGACACGGACCAGACUCCUACGGGAGGCAGCAGUGAGGAAUAUUGGUCAAUGGGCGGGAGCCUGAACCAGCCAAGUCGCGUGAAAGGAAGAAGGAUCUAUGGUUCGUAAACUUCUUUUGCAGGGGAAUAAAGUGCAGGACGUGUCCUGUUUUGUAUGUACCCUGAGAAUAAGGAUCGGCUAACUCCGUGCCAGCCGCUGC
rnacentral:rRNA from 1 species